UACGAAGGGUGCUAGCGUUGUUCGGAAUUACUGGGCGUAAAGCGCGCGUAGGCUGCCAUUCAAGUCAGGGGUGAAAUCCUUGGGCUCAACCCAAGAAUUGCCUUUGAAACUGUAUGGCUAGAGUGUCGGAGGGGAUAGCGGAAUUCCUAGUGUAGCGGUGAAAUGCGUAGAUAUUAGGAGGAACACCAGUGGCGAAGGCGGCUUUCUGGACAGUAACUGACGCUGAGGCGCGAAAGCGUGGGGAGCAAACAGG
rnacentral:rRNA from 1 species